CCGCCCGUAGCUCAGCUGGAUAGAGCAUCUGCCUUCUAAGCAGAGGGUCGCUGGUUCGAAUCCUGCCGGGCGGACCA
rnacentral:tRNA from 1 species